rnacentral:rRNA from 1 species
AUUGAACGCUGGCGGCAGGCCUAACACAUGCAAGUCGAACGAGUGGCGGACGGGUGCGUAAUGUCUGGGAAACUGCCUGAUGGAGGGGGAUAACUACUGGAAACGGUAGCUAAUACCGCAUACCAUCGGAUGUUCCCAGAUGGGAUUAGCUAGUAGGUGGGGUAAAGGCCAACCUAGGCGACGAUCCCUAGCUGGUCUGAGAGGAUGACCAGCAACACUGGAAAUGAGACCCGGGCAAGACUCCUACGGGAGGCAGAAGUGGGGAAUAUUGCACAAUGGGAGCAAGCCUGAGGCAGCCAUGCCGCGUGUAUGAAGAAGGACUUCGGGUUGUAAAGUACGGUCAGCGGGGAGGCGUUACCCGCAGAAGAAGCACCGGCUAACUCCGUGCCAGCCGCCGCGGUAAUUC